AGCGGGGUAGAGGAAUUGGUUGACUCAUCAGGCUUAUGACCUGAAGACUGCAGGUUCGAAUCCUGUCCCCGCCU
rnacentral:tRNA from 1 species